AGGACGAACGCUGGCGGCGUGCUUAACACAUGCAAGUGGAGCGACGAACCAGGGCUUGCCCUGGGGCAGAGCCGCGAACGGGUGAGUAACACGUGGGUUACCUGCCUCGAUGACCGGGACAACCCGAGGAAACUCGGGCUAAUACCGGAUGUGCCCGCAAGGGGAAAGGAAGCUUCGGCCUCCGCAUCGAGAUGGGCCCGCGGCCCAUUAGCUUGUUGGUGAGGUAACGGCUCACCAAGGCUUCGAUGGGUAGCUGGUCUGAGAGGACGAUCAGCCACACUGGGACUGAGACACGGCCCAGACUCCUACGGGAGGCAGCAGUGGGGAAUCUUGCGCAAUGCGCGAAAGCGUGACGCAGCAACGCCGCGUGGGGGAAGAAGGCUUUCGGGUUGUAAACCCUUUCAGUUGGACGAAGCUUCGUCGGUGAAUAGCCGGCCGGAGUGACGGUACCUUCACAAGAAGCACCGGCUAACUACGUGCCAGCAGCCGCGGU
rnacentral:rRNA from 1 species